rnacentral:lncRNA from 1 species
UAUAGCAAAAGCAAGGAACUGUUGUUGCAUAAGAUAAAUGUAUGCCUAAGUUCAAUACAAAGCAUGGAGAUUCAAUUUGUACCAAAAGUAACACAGUAGUUGCCUAAAGAAAGCUUAAUUGCAUCAAGUUCAACAAAAACACAUAGAUCCAAGAUAUCAAAAGCAGAGCAGAGUGGUAUAUAAUGCGCAACAUGAUAUCUUCAAAUCCGAGCAUUGUGUUGUUACAUAGUUUAGUUUUAAAGGUCCAAAUCCACCUUCAAGAAAAGAAAAAGGAAGAGUCAAUCAGUGAGAAGUACACAAAACUUGCUCGUUAAAAAACAAAACUAAUUUUUUUGUAGCAUAAUAUGACAUCAGGCAUGAUCUGUUUUUUAGUAGUCCCUGUUUAAGUAUUAGCCUUAACAUUAAUUUCAUAAUCGAUGUCGAAACAAAAGGAAAUAAGCAGUGAAUUGUUGAUUCACAUGCAGUAAAUAUUUCUCUACAAUGGGAAUUUAAAUCAAUCCCUGCCCUCAACCUUUCCAUUUGGUGAUCGAAUGAACAAUCAGAAUCCGGUUUUAAGAACCACAGUGACCGAUGCAAUAAAUAUCACAAGUCCCAGAAAACCAAAUAAACUUUGUAUGCUAGCGUCAAUUUGCAUAACCUUAGGAUUUCAAGAAUUGUUCCAUGCAGCCGUCAACAUGCUAACUCAACCAAAUUUCUGAUAAAUGCUACUUUCUAAAUCAAUGAAUAUUAAUAUGGGUCGAAGGGAGUAACAUAUUUCUCAUUAUACGUGGCAAAAAGAAUUCUACUGAAAGCUCGAAUAUUUUUUCACUCACUAAUGUGCAAUAUAUUAUUACAAAGUCAAGUAGUACACAUGUAUGCUCAAAUUCAUGAAGCAAGUGACAUGCGAUGAGUAUUUGGAAGAUAAGAUCAACAUAAAGCUUCAAUGUGUAUUCAGCAUGAACUCACCAUCUUUUGCUACACGACAUAAGCCUAGGAUAACAACAUGUGAACAUUGAAGAUACGCCUUGCAAAAACUAUGACCAUCAUGCCUUGCUCAACUCAACCUGCACAGAAAAGGCAACAUAAGAUUAUUUCUGGCAAACGCAACAGAAGUUGGAGAUAAGUAAAAUCUUUCUAGGCAAAUAGCUAUAUCGAUCUAACCAAGCAUGAUUCAAUCAAAAUGUAGGCAAGACUUACAACAGAUUUUCUUUGCAUCAAGUUGAUAUUUUUCUGAUCUUAUAUUUUGUUAGUGAAUUGUACAUAAGGAACAUAUAUUUUAUGUAUGUAAAUUGAACAUUGAUGAAGUUGAGAGACAAUAGAUAGAUUAAGAGGGAGCGGUACUUAAUGUGUUGCACUGUGCUAGUCUAAAAAUAUACUUAGUGUAGUAUGUCUAUAGUCUGGAAUAAGAGCAUACAUGUUACUCCCUCAUUGGCUCAUUGCAUUGUUUACCUACAUACAAACAUUUGUACUUGGUACUGGUGCAAAAAAAUAGUGCCACAGAUAUCACACCAGAAUUUGUGAAGAAAAUGGAGACACUGACAUCAUGUUUCUAGUAGUACAGUUGCGUUGCAUAUUUUGGUUACCUGACAUAAGCAUUCUUCACUUGUUUUCUUUCUUCCAUACGCACUGCAAAUAAAAAGUGGAGCUAGAGUAAAAUAGAAGAAUUUGUAUUGUGAGACAACCGAGAGGACAAGAGAAUACUCUGACAAAUCAUUGCCAGGUUCAUACUCCCUCCGUUCCAAAAUAGAUGACCCAACUUUAGAUGACAAAUCAUCUAUUUUGGAAUGGAGGAAGUAGAUUUUAAACCCAACCAAGAUGAAUAGACCCAAAUGUCACCUUACUUUGGUGAGAAUACUCCUCUCUAAUUGUCCAUCCUUCAACAUGGUAAUCUUCUCAACAUCACAAGUCGAUCUGCAAUGACAAAAGCCAAGCAUCGGCAUCAUAGGAGGAGGAAAUAAAUGUUUGAUCUUUGAGAUAGAAGGCAAAUGGUACUAAAGAUCUCUAAUCAGCCCCAUCGCAACAUAGUAAUAUGUGGAGUUACACAAUAACAUACCACUCUUUUUAUAUAACUAACAUUUGUGUUAUAAAGCCGGACCAUAGAUGAUCCUAUGGAUGGCACUCAAGAUUUUAGCCAAAUUUUGAGAAGUCUUCAUACACCUACCGACAUAAACUCAAUAUAUGUAACCUUUAGCAAGAUAUCAUACAGUAAGCCUCACAAACUCUCCUAUUUAUCCAGAUAACAACAACCAAUAUUCUAAGACUCAGACUAAAGUGUUACAUUGUUUUAUAGGGACACCUGAUUUUUGCAGACUAUAGUGUUAUAUUUAUUUUCUAGAAAGUGUAUGCUCUCUCAGUUGAAUCGAAAACCAGCCUCGACCCAGAGUAAUCUUAAUUAUAAGGCCAAUGUAAUGACAAAAUAUAUGGCAACAUGCUAUAUUUCAACUUUGCAAGCAUCAACGUAUUGCCAAUGUUCAGUUCAGGUAUAAGGGCUUCUAUAACUGGAUUUCCAUCCACCAUCAGUUGAGACUAUCUAUACAUGCACUUCAUUGGAAAUAACGUGAUACCUUUAAGAGGAGCAGCAACCUCAUCAAAUCCCACGGAGCCCAAAAUUAGCAACUUGCAGUCACCAUGGCUUGCAUGAUGUCCAACGGUCUCCAGUGGGGUGUCAGACGUGAUGGCCGACCACUGCUUCCGCUCCUGGUUGCAGCACCUCGGCGCUAGCCACGGAGCCGCUCUGCUGCAAACAAUGACCUGGGGAAUUCCAAACAUGAUCAACAUUUCCUCCGGCCGGCUAGUAUAUGAAAUGCAGCUCAGAAGAUUCUUCUCGAAUUAGUAAGAUAUGCGAGCUUGAUACUUUUCCCAUCUACUUAUCUACUUUGUGGAGUUGUUUGACAUAAGCAAGGUGGAGGGGUGUAUAAAAGCAGGAGAUGCUAGCAUUUUACGUUGUGAAUGUACAGUACAUCCCUUCAUUAUAAUUUUUCUAUCAUGCCAAUGGAGUGGCAAAACAAUAGAUAAACAUCAUUGAACAUCUCAGGAUCCAACGACUACAUUAAGUAACAUGUUAAUAGUAUAGUAAUUUUCUCAUGUAUAAUCAUACUACUAUCACUACAGCAUCACAAACUAAACCUAGUUGUAUAACAAUCAGAUUGAAUGAUAGGGGCUUUUGCCUCCAAUUUCCAUGUAAAAUAGAAUCAGCAGUACAGGCAUGUAUGCACAUUAACUUUUUUUUGUUUGUGAAAAAGGGCAAAAACAUUGGUAGUAGUUCCAGCUAUUUAUGUUACUGGAAGUACUGCCAAUGCUUUUGUCAUGUAAAAUAGAAUCAGCAGUACAGGCAUGAAGACACAUAUCAGCAUGUUUAGCAAUAACAUGGAAAGAAAGAUAGGGAGAACACCUUUGUAUCAUCUACUGUAAGCCGGAAGACAUGAGACCUCACAUUUGAAGGAGAAAAACAUUAGUAUGGAAUCUUGCCAUGAUUUAUAAUGUAUAAAUAGCUUACGAUUAUUUUUGCAAAAAAAAAUAGCUUGCGAAUAGGGAAAGCUUUUAUUUCGGGCAUCCUAAUUUUUGGUAUCUCCCUAAUCCAGUCCCACAACUCAACAUAGGAUACAUGACAGUGGGCAUCAACGCAUCAUUAUACCAAAACAAAGGAGAAAAUAGAAGAACAGAAAAAGAUUAUGUUCGAGUAAAUACUACCUGAAAUAUCAUGAUAGUAAUUUAGAUUGUCCUUUGGUGCUCAACUAUUGCCCAAAGAUCCCUUGCCAAUAGAACCGAGAGCAAAC